UAUUGCACAUACCCGGCCUUG
rnacentral:miRNA from 1 species